GUUUUCUUCAAGAGAACCUGAAGUCAAAAAGCUGUUGUCCUGUGAAGCUGGUGCUGCUCCGUGGCCAGUCUCACCGGGAAAGGUGUACUGAGGUUCCACCAACCACAACCCUCUCUCGUGUGCUAGAUAGGUAUGUUCACAUGCAGAGUCGCUAUGUUUAUUUCCAAUUUUCAGAGGCAAGGCUGUGAAUUUUUUUUUUCAGGA